GGGGUUGUGGCUCAGUGGUACAGUGCUCGCUAAGCACGUGUGAGGCCCUGGGUUCGAUCCUCAGCACCACA
rnacentral:tRNA from 1 species